GUGUUACCCGGGACCGCUUAGAUGCUAAAUGACAGCUAAGCUCAUUGAAAUUCCUGUUUUCGUAAAAACUGGAGAUGCCAAUAUUUUUGAGCUGUCAGUCCUACCAUUCAAACUCCAAGCUUAAAACCAUCAAAGCCGUGCCCUGGAGCACCCUGACCCAGAGACCCUGUGUCACUGCAGGAGCAACACUGCUAACAUCUGCCCAGCUGACGUUACGUCAAUGGCUGCCACACUGGAGGCUCGCAAACGAAGGUCCAUGGACGUGCACAUAAAUGUUAUGAAUGACAAAUUUUAGACCUUUCCCGGAUUAUAAAAUGUAUUUAUUUUCCCCAAUAUUUAUUCAAGGAAAUACUGAGGAUAAAAUGAAGGUUGUCUGCUUUCCACGUCCUUGAUGAGAUCUGUAUCAUUGUAAAUAUUUAACUUCAUACAGUAGCACUAUAUGUUAUAUACAUUCAUGAUAUUACGGGUGAUUAUUUUAAACAUUCUUGAGAUGAAAAAUUUUGGGAACCCCAGAUAAAUAUAACCAAGCCAAUACCAUUAAAGAAGUAAUUGGUUUAAUAA